UAUGGUUUAUCCCUGUUGACAAUCACCCAGUGUUCUAUAAUCCUAUCCUAGCUUUCUAGUUACAUGUAAGGAUUAAGGCCUUCACAAUCAGUAGAUUGAGGCCCAUGAAACUGACUUUCAAUUCAUGCUCCCCACUUCACUGGCUACCAUAACUGAGGUGAGUAACAUUUAACUCCUUAACUCCUUCUCCUGAUACUGAGCCAACCCCAAUACUGAUAAUUACAA